rnacentral:tRNA from 1 species
GGUGAGGUGUCCGAGUGGCUGAAGAGCACGCCUGGAAGUGUGUAUACGGCAACGUAUCGGGGGUUCGAAUCCCCCCUCACCGCCA